GUGGAAUUUGAGUAAGUCUGGAGGGUGGCGGGAUGAUAGUGAGCGAUGGAGGAGUCGGGCUCCUUGAAUGCGCUGCUAUACAGUCUUUUGAUGAUUCUGUGCUUAUUUGCUGCGUAUGUCAUCAAAAAACAUCACUUCAUUUAUCUCCCGGAGUCAGGACUUUUUCCGCAAUUUUACCACAAUUGUACUGUUCGAUGUAAUUGGUACAAUCGUUUCAGUUUUAAUAUACGGGCUCUGCACUGAUGUGCUGGUUUGAUUAAAAACCAUGAGUCCCGAAUCGCCGCUACUAUAGUCCCUGAUGUUUGGUUCCGUCAUCUCUGCUAUUGACCCGGUGGCAACUUUAUCAGUGUUUCAUGGCAUGUCCUCAGUUCUCUACCGUGCAAUGUCUUCACGUUGAAAGCGUUACUUCUAAAAUGUUUCGGCUCUUUUCAAUUUCAGGAAUUUAUUCGUCUGGGUUCCUAGCUAAGAAGGAAAAUGUAUCAACUACUCAACUACUUUUUGCCAGGUACAUGUAAAAACACAUAAAUAGUUACCUGCAUCCCUAGUGAAGCGAAGGCAAAAACCUCCGCCAUGAAAGCCAGAGAUAUGCGUACUUUAAUGAUUUUGUUUAAUAAAUAAGAAAAUUCCAUUAA